CAUCGGAGCUCCCGGCUUCAGAGCUGCUCUGUAGGAGCCUCUGCUGGCCCGGCCGGCACGAGAGCCAAGAGUGGGCCAACAGGGCGAGGAUCCGACAAGACACCGCCACACCCCAGCCCGCGCUCCCUCACCUGCCACCCGAGACUCCCCGAGCGCCCCAUACCUUCAGCCAGCGAUUCCUCCAGGGUGACCUGGUAUCGGCCGACCGCGAACACUCGGACCCCGACUGACGAGCCGCCCGGGCCGCCGCCGGCCCCGGCCCCGGCCGCCCCGCCACCCGCUGCUCCGCCGCCACCGCUGCCCUCCGACUUGGGCAUCCGCGAGAACUUCUUCAUGGUCCCGCCGGCGCGCUGGAGGGCACGAGGAGGGCAAAGGGGCGAGCGAGAACGCGAGUCCCCGGGCCGGCGUCCGCGAGGGGUCGCCGCCCUUCGCCCGUCCCAGCGUCCGUGCGCGCUGCGGCCCGCCGAACCUCACAUUCCGCGCGCCGCGGAGAACACAGUCCCAGCCCCGCCGCCCCGCUGCAGCUGCCCGGCUCCCGCAGAGGGCGGCAGGGAGGGCGGGGACGGGGCGGGGCCCGAGGGGGCGGGCCCGAGCGCGGCGGCGACACCGACACCGCCUCCGCGCGCCCCCGCCGCCUCAGUGAGCGCGGGGAGCGCGACCCGGGAGGAGGGACGGGGCGGACAAGGCGGCUGCUCUGGGCAGUGGCCGGCUCUCGGGCUGCACACCCUCAGAACCGCACUCCGCCGCGCUACAGCCGCCACCGCCGCCGCCCGACCCGCGCCGCCCGCCACUCGCGGCCGUUGGCGGAUCGCGGAUGGUGCCAACCGCUCACAGAGCCCGCGCACCCCGCGCAGGCGCACUGCCCGCGCCGCCGGAAGUGACGGUUCCGGCUUUUGUCACGUGGAGGAGGAGCGGGGUUGUGAUGGAGGGGGCUGGGAACCGGAGCGAAGUCCGGGGGCGUUCCGGGAGGGUUUGGCCGGACGGUGGGGCCCAGCUUCCACAAGCGUGGUGUCCGAGGGCUUGGUCCCCGCGCUGGUCAUGCAGCGGGGUCUGUCAUCUUGGCUGGGAGUCGCCAGUUUUCCAGGCCUUCUCCCCCAAGAAUCCUCCCGAGGUUAGGAGCAGCGUGAAACUAGUGGAUUCCAGUAACACAACUUCCCAAGCGCUGUGGCGGAAGGCUUUGCCCGUGACUUCGGGGAGCCCUUUCAAGAUCCCGUGUGCUGUGCAUCUGUAACAGCGAUGGACACCGUUUUGCAGACUGUCACCUUUGCCUGGAAAGACUUAUCAGUCACCCAAGGUCACACAGUUGGCUUGAUCGUCCUUUGAUGCUGACUUCCAUGCUUUUGGCCAUUCUUGAAAAAAAUCCUCACAUCCCAUUUGCAUGUUCCUGCUGCACUCACCUCCCAGUAGUGGUGCCACAGGUGAACCAAUAUGAAACCAAAACACAAAAUGAGUAACUGAAUCUCUCAGCAUGCUCGUUGAGCUUUGGCUUCAUAGUUCUACACUGGACAUGCUUCAGAUCAUUCAUCAAAAUGGUGAGGUUAUUAGUGUGUCAACAUCCAAGGUCAUAUCCGGCUUACUAGUUUAUUAUAAAGGAAGAGCCAUAUGGAAGAGAUGCCCAGAACACAGCAUGGUGGUGGGGAUACCUGGAGUUUCCAUGCCCUCUCAAGGUGUACCACCCUUCCAGCACCCCAGCUGUUCACCAACCCAGAACUCCAUUAGUUUUGCACUCAUUAUUAAACUAAUGACUAUGGAAAAAACCCUGAUUUCCUAUUAGAAGAUGAAAUAUCUGGGAGAAAAUGUGUAGAUAAGGUAGAUUGUGACCAUUUUGAAGCGUUGCAUUGAUGUAACUUUCAGAAAAUAGUUAAUAAAGGCAAAAGAAAAUUAUAUUUCAAUUUUAUAGAUAGCUAAUCUUUCAAUUAUUUACAGCUCUAUUGCUAUAAAAAUAGUUCAGAAGUAGCCACAUAAGAGACUUUUUUUUAAAUAAAUUGCUUCAUUUUGCAAAGUUUCACAUUACACUAUUCUGAUACCAUCAACAGAUCAUCGUAGCUAACUAAAGGGAUUCUGAGAUCCUUAUACAGGAAGGAUUUUGACAAUGAGGGAAGGAAGAAUAGUUAUUUUUGUCUUUUAUGGGAAAGCUAUAACCCUUGUUGUCACUUUGACCCUUACGUACUUUACAUUAGGGUGGCUCUCAGAGACAAAUGGGACAUGAGAAUGAUUGACAUAGUUCAAAGAAAAUACGCUCAUCCAAAAGGUUUAUUCCAUUGCCACAAGUACAUUUAUAGUCAUCUCUUCUAAAACUUAAUCAUUUUCCUCACAAAUCAGCAUUUUCCUUGAUGAUAUGUCUUCUCCAAUAGCUGCACCUUUACUAUAAAGAAUGA